rnacentral:rRNA from 1 species
AAGAAAGCAUUGAAGCCCACCACGCCAGCCGCCAAAGGGAAGCAGGAGAAAAUCCCCAAUUCCCCGUUGACCCAUUCUUCCCCGGCAACCUAGCUCGGCGACGGCGGCCGGCGGCCGGCGCGGGCGGGCGUUAAGUUCAAGCUAGCCUGCCAGCGGCAGGGCGUCGCUGUGCCGCGCUGCAGGGACGGCGCGGAAGCUGAAGCUAAGCGUAGACUGACGUCCGAACAGCACUAGGAUUAAGCCAUGUCCUCUUCGUCAUCUUUCCCCGGCCCCCGCUUCCCUGGCGCCGGCGCUGGAGCCUCUGGCGGGGGCGGAGGCGGAGGUGGUGGGAGCGGGAGCAGCGUGCGGCCCUGGGGAUCGAGCGGAGGGACGUCGGUCUCGUCGUCGGGGAAGCGGAUACAGAAGGAGCUGCUGGACCUCAACGCUUCCGACUGCUCCGCCGGUCCCAAGGGGGACAACCUCUACCACUGGCUCUCCACCAUCAUUGGACCCCAAGGGUCACCAUAUGAAGGAGGGAUAUUUUUCCUUGAUGUCGUUUUCCCACUUGAUUAUCCUUUCAAACCUCCUAUGGUGACUUUCAAAACAAGGAUUUACCACUGCAACGUUGAUUCCACUGGGGCAGUGAGUUUGGAAAUUUUGAAGGAUGGCUGGAGUCCAGCUUUAACUAUUUCAAAGGUGCUACUGGCGAUCAAAGCCAUCAUCACAAAUCCGGAUCCAUACAACCCACUUGUGGAGAGCAUUGCACGUUUGUACCUGACUGAUAGAGCUAAGCAUGAUGAAAUAGCUGCUGAAUGGACAUUGAGGUUUGCAAGAUAGGGAGUCCUUUCUGCAACUAAAUAAGGAAAUUUGACUCUGUAAAUGAAUAAUCUUGUAUGUAACCUGAGAUAUAUAACGUUGGAAAGGAUCCAAUACAUUAAUCUGAGUUGUGCCAUAAAGAUGUGUUUGCAUUAUUUUGAUGUUUAGUUGUGAAAUUGGCUUUAAUGGUUUACUUCUCAAAGUUAUCCCUAGCAAUUCUUAAGUUCAAUUCUGUGCCCACUUGAUUUGUUCAAAGGGAAAAGUUCCUGGUAGUAUGGAAGUUUCAGUGGCCAAAACACUGUUGUAUAUCAGUCAAACUACGAAAAGGCCUACGAGUCAAAUCUUUCACUUGAAACCAAAUUUUCGCUGGCUAUCAUUCCUAGGUUGUUGGGCAUGGCUUCAAUCAUACAUGAAUGAUGUUUAUUUCCAAAAC